UAUACAGUUUGAUCUGGCUCGAAAUCACGCUGGCGGCGUGCCUACACNUGCAAGUCCACCGCGAAAGCCCGCAAGGGGUAAGAGAGUGGGCGCACGGGUGAGAACACGUGGACAACCUGCCUUCGAGUGGGGAAUAACCUUCCGAAAGGAGGGCUAAUACCGCANUACACCUCGGGACACAAGUUCUGGGGUUGAAAAGAGCAAUUUGCUCGAAGAGGGGUCCGCGCCUGAUUAGCUAGUUGGUGAGGUAACGGCUCACCAAGGCUUCGAUCAGUAGCCGUCCUGAGAGGGAGCACGGCCACACUGGAACUGAGACACGGUCCAGACUCCUACGGGAGGCAGCAGUGGGGAAUUUUUGGCAAUGGGCGCAAGCCUGACCAAGCAACGCCGCGUGGGGUGAUGAAGUAUCUUGGUACGAAAACCCCUUUCG
rnacentral:rRNA from 1 species